ACGUAGGGGACGAGCGUUGUCCGGAAUUACUGGGCGUAAAGGGCGCGCAGGCUGUGCUGCAAGUCAGCUGUUAAAUGUCUGGGCUUAACCCGGGCAUGCGGUUGAGACUGCGGUGCUGGAGUGCUGUAGAGGCAAGUGGAAUUCCCAGUGUAGCGGUGAAAUGCGUAGAUAUUGGGAAGAACACCGGUGGCGAAGGCGACUUGCUGGGCAGCAACUGACGCUGAGGCGCGAAAGCCAGGGGAGCAAACGG
rnacentral:rRNA from 1 species